rnacentral:piRNA from 1 species
CAGCAGAUACCUCCUAUCGUUCAGUUCUA